AACUUAGUUCAUAAAUAGAACAAACAUAAUUCUGACCACAAGACCUUAAUUACAAUAUCGAUCAUAGAAUUUAAAAUAAAGAAAAGCAUGCGCAAAAUCAAUCGCUCUUGGCACCCAUAAUGUAAGAAGACACCAACCAUCUUACUAUGCAGAAAGUCAAUCUGAAACCAAACAAUUAACGGAUGAGUUUUUAAUAUAAAAACCCGGUACGCACGGACUUCUUAUAUGUGUGAAAUAAGCCGCAUUAAUUAUAUAUAAAUACUCACCUCCACAAUUAGCGGGAAUUUUGGAUAUGCCACAUUUUUUAGCAACAGAUUGAGCAGUCUUUUUGUUGAUGAAUAACGGAAGUUUUUUCGAGCACAAGCAAUCUUGACCAGCAUUUUUGAUGGAGUUACAACAAGCCUGCGAUGGCGAUGGAUAUAGAAGAUUCCCAAAAACUUUUAUAACAUGCUUCUUACAUAAUCCGGCCACCUGUUUGGAAUCUGCGUCGCAAUCACUUCCAGCCAAAACACCACCAUUGAUUGAAAUGACAAUUGUGAUCAACAUUAGUGCCACGAGAAGGGAGUAGUUAAACAUACCCAUAUUCUUCUAAUCUUUUGCAAUUGAAAUGUUUUCUGAUUUUGUUUUGUUUUGUGGAUUGUGAUAUUUGUAUGGAAAAUGUCAAUAUAUAAUGGAUUUUAUU
rnacentral:lncRNA from 1 species